ensembl:rRNA 5S_rRNA 5S ribosomal RNA
GCUUAUGGCCAUACCACCUUAGGCACGCCCGAUCUCGUCUGAUCUCGGAAGCUAAGCAGCGUCGGGCCUGGUUAGUACUUGGAUGGGUGACCGCCUGGGAAUACCAGGUGCUGUAAGCA